UACCAGCUGACAGAAGUUCAGGUCGGCUGGAGCGGAAAACAGUUUCCUUUGAAUGACUCGGAUUUGUUCGCGUUUCUUUUACUCAAACACAAAGGGCGAGGUGCUUUAUGAAGCAGAAAGCUUUGAUCUGAAAGUUCGGUUUUUAAUAGUUUGGCUGGAUUUAAUGUACUAGUUCCUGUGAUUUACACCUCCCCUGAUACCGGCUGGGUGUAGCCGUGCUGCUGGCACGCCUCCAGCUCUGGAGGAGGAGGCGUUCAUCCUGACCUCCGCUGCCCGGCUGUGUCCCACCAUGGCCCGGGGUUGAGACCCGUGAUAUGGACCAUGCUUUGGAAGGUGUUUCACCCGAGGAGCUCACACUUUCGUGAAAGCCUCGAUAAGAACUCAAACAUUUUAUAUUGUUAUUUAUUUUUAUCCUUCUGUCAACACUCGGCCCUCCUGGGGAGGACGCAGCGUGUGGGUCUCCCAGAGAAACUUGUUUCAGAGCUUUGCUGGAUUGACUCCUCCGGCAGUAAUGGCCACUGCCAGGCUUGAUUAUGUCGCUCCGUGGUGGACAUACUGGCUGCACAACUUUCCACACUUCAAUCUUCGUUUCCAGCCGGUGAACAACACUUUCCAGCCGGAGGAGGCGAGCUACCAGCAGUCUGUAAUAUUUCUGGCGUGCGUUGGUGCAGUGGGUGCUAGCUUGAGCCUGCUUGUCCUGGCGGUGUACCUGGUGUGUUUGUGCUGCUGCAGAAGGAAAGGGGAUGAAGACACCAAAAGGCCUGAUACCUGCUGUGUCACCUGGGUUGCUGUUGUCACAGGACUCGUCAUAUGUUCUGCUGUAGGAGUGGGUUUCUAUGGAAACAGCCAGACCAACGAUGGUGUCUACCAGCUGACCUACUCCCUCUACAGUGCCAAUCACACACUGGAUGGCAUCAACAGUAUGGUUGCUGGAUCUGUGAGCAACAUUGAAAAUAAACUUAAGCAGCACCUCGAACGUCUGGAUGAGAUCUUUGCUGCUCGAGCCGACUACAUCCAAUCUCUGCGCUUCAUACGGCUGAUGGUUAACAACAUCAUCCAGGAGUUGACUGCAUUACCAAACAUCAGCCAAACUAAAGUCUACUUGGCAGCCUUUGCAGAGAAGACAGCAUUCAUUGAGUAUUACAGAUGGCUGAUUUAUCUGUUGCUGCUGAUCCUUGAUCUGGUCAUCUGCUUGGGCAUGUGUUUGGGGAUUGCCAAGCAGUCUCAAUGCCUUCUCAUCACGAUCAUGGGUUUUGUUGUUCUGUCCUUGAUUCUGAGCUGGGCUUCACUGGGAACUGGCACUGCUACAGCUGUGGUCACCAGCGACUUCUGUGUGUCUCCAGUCAGGUAUAUUGUCAACCAAACCCAGGAUUUCCUCAGUGCAGAUAUCGCACACUAUUAUUUGUUCUGCAGUCCAAAUCUACAAAACCCCUUUCAGCAGUCACUGACAAUCUGUCAGCGUUCUCUCACCACCAUGCAAAUCCAGAUCCAGGGCUUGCUGAGAUUUUCUGUGCCAGUUUUUCCCGCUGCUCAGAGAGACCUUUUAGGGAUCCAGCGGCUGUUAAACUCCACUGAGUUCAGUGUGCACCAGCUAACAGCGCUGCUUGAUUGCCGUGGGAUACGAAAGGACUACCUGGAUGCCCUGAUGGGUGUGUGCUACGAUGGGGUGGAAGGUCUCCUCUACCUCUCUUUGUUUUCUCUCCUGUCUGCCUGCGCGCUCUCAGCCAUGCUGUGUGUGAUUUUCCGCUUGUGGACAUUAAUGGGCAGCAGGGAAAAGGAGUACAACGACAUCGAUGCGGAGGAUCCAUUCAAUCCACAAGCACGUCGGCUCUCAUACAACCCUCAAAGAUCCAACACGCACAGUUUCUGUAGCUACAUCAGCAGCCUUGGCAGUCAGGCCAGUCUGCAUCCACCUCCUCAAUCUACUUCUAAUUCUACCAUACCACCUCCUGAAUACAUGAAUCAGUCGAUGCUGUUUGGAGAGGUGCCUCGGUAUGAGAAUGUGCCACUGAUAAGGAGAGGAUCCCCGCCUCCUUCGGUUCGUUGGCCUUAUGAGGCUUUAGUAUCGUUAGUGUGAUGAUGAUGCUGAUGAAGAGGGUGGUGGCACUGACUGGAAACAGUCAUACUAGACACUAGCCCACAGCUUUCCUGGACCACCAUGUAGACACCUUCAUCUUUGUGCAUGUGAUGGAAGACUGAUCUCUACUGGAUGUUUAUGGAAGUGCAUUUUUAUUAUAAUACCGAGCUCCCUUUUACUUUACUCAUUCUGAUUGUUUUUCAAACAUUUAUCUUCCAUGUAAAUUUGUCUGUGCUUCAAAAGCAUAAAAUCAGCUUAUUUGUCUUCAACCUCAGAGUGGGUUUCCACUUUUAACUCACCGUGUAGCCCGUUGUGUCUACGGAGCUAGGGCUAAAUUACAGAAAACAGAUGGAGUACAGAAAAAUACACAGUCUAAGGGUCUGCUGUGCAGGGUUUUUCUUGCUGUGAAGUUUUCUGCUUCCGUGGCUUCAGCCGUCCUCAGCGUACCAAAGACUUCCUUUUAGAGUGAGAGAAGGCAGAAAAGAAUCUGGAACAUCGUUUAAAGUGUGUCUGCCUCAGUGAGGCGGCUUCCAACAGGCAUAGACAUCGGUUUUCUGGUGUAUCUGUGACAGAGCUGCUUGAAAACCUGGUGGUGGUGGGGGGGGGGGGGGUUCAAUAAAUGCUGCAUUUUGUGCCUUGUCUCUGUUUGUUUUGAUGAGCAUUUUGUGUGUGUGUGUGUGUGUGUGUGUGUGUGUGUGUGUGUGUGUGUGUGUGCGCGCGCGUGUGCGUGUGUGUGUGUGUGUGUGUGUGUGUGUGUGUGUGUGUGUGUGAGCAGUUUCUCAGUACUGAAGUGAAGCUGUACGUUGGAAUACUUUUGUUAUUUUCGUGUUUUCUGUGAUUUUUCUGCACACGUCUAUCUCUGAACUCACUUUCAUCCUUUCAUUUACUGUAAAUUUGUUAGCCCAGCUUUGACUUCCUGGCACUGUUUUGCCAGCUGAGAUUUGCAUUACUCCCCCAGUAUGAGGACAACUUACCUGUCUAUGACCGAUGCCCAGAUUAGACGUUUUGGGACCGACUUUCAGGUGUAGCCUGCUACCCA